CCCAGGCCUCGCGUAGGUUAACGUCCGGAAGUAGUUCCGGUGCGAUGAACAGGCCAGAUGUCGCCGAAACCGCGAUCCGGAAACGAUGAUCGGUGCCGACACUAAUUUAUUAAUUUAUGCCGAAGAAGACGCGCACACGCCCAAGCCCGGCAACGGUGACGUAACUGUAAACACAACACUGGGAGGAACGAAGGAAAUUGCUUGAUCGAAGAAAUCUGUAUUAAUUGGUUCUCCGCUUUAGUUGUUUUUUUUCUACUUCAGUAUCGCGUGCGUAAUAUCGUUCAAAUUUCGUUUCAAACAUUUGGUUACAUCGUCAGAAAAUGUAACUACAAAUCUGAUUAGUGGAAUAACGGUUUCUUAGUUACCAAGUUCGGUAAACACACAUUUCUAACGCACCGAGAACAAUUUGCAGAUUUUUAACAAUGACUCAACCACAAAUUCGGUGCCGUGACGAAACCGGUGGAGCUGUGUCAACGUUAUAACAACGUCGAUAAACAAACAACUAACAUGCGCGAUGAGAGACACGCACCUUCCGGUGGCAUAUCCUCACCGUCUAAAAAAAUCCGAUGCCCCCAACGACUAAUUUCGGUCGAUGGCGAUCGACAAAUCAGGAUUAAAUACCACGUUUAUCAAUAUAAACGAUGCGACACGCAAGCGAUUACAUUAUCUGGUGUAAUAACACUUCCACGUACUGAAUUAUUGACGUGGAAAGACAGUGUGAUCUUCGGAGAUGUACGAAGAAAGAAACGUCCGGUAUGCCGUCUCGGCUCGGCUCGGCUCGACAUUGUCACGACGCCGGACAGAUUUUCAGUAGGAAGCGAAAUUAGGUCAGCAACAUAUAGGGCGUCUUGACAGGUGAACAAAACCAUUCAUGGAAUACCGUGUAGCGGAAAUUAAGGCGCUACAAACGAACGCGCACGAAUGAUAUCGCGAUCUUAUUUCGGAGGAUGGAAAUGAGAAUAAUAGAAUGGGACCGUGUACGCGUCCGACGUAAGGUAGUCGGCCUGAUCGCGCGAAAAACGUAAGAAGUGGCCGUGUCAGCGAGACCGCACAAGAAAAGAACGUUUCAUUUGAUCGUAGAGUGGGCAGGUUCAUCGCUGGAAUCGAUGCUGCCGCACUCUUAGGCUGCGAUUGUUCCGGCGAGAACGAUCGCAAAUAAAUGACGAACGGUGUCCGUCAAUUUGUUGAAACACGAACAACGUUCGAACGGUGUCGCGACCGUGAGUUCAGGCACGCUUAACGAAGAAUUCAAACGAAGAGAAAUCGGGGAAGCUUAAAGGCGGCACACGCCAUUUUUAUCCCCGGAGUGUUAGCCGUCACGAGACAACCGAUCGUCGUGAAACACGAGAGCGGACGCGUUUUCGGAAUGAAAGCGAACGAAACUCUUCACUUACCUUCUCGUGAGGAUAGUCCGCGACACCGUUUUAUCCGAGUGCUCGCAUAAAAACCUGUCGAAGUACACCAAAAACCACCGAUUAACGAUCCACACAAACCCAUCCACACAGCCAACCGGCGCGCAACCGACUGAGCGCAUACGGCGUCGACCUACGCCAGCGUAGCUAGUCCCAGUCCUCGCCCACCAAUGGGAACUACGCGUGACAUUACGAACGCUACAUAUGUACAUACAUUGUACAACCUGCGAGUGCUGCAACACCUACGGCUGGAUGAAAUUUGAAGCGAUAUUAUUUGAAAAAAGAAAACUUUCACACUUCGUAAAUACUUAUUAGACUACUGAAAUUUAUUCCUAAAUUUACGUAAUCAUUAACAAACUUCGAACUACAACUACCAUCGAUAUUUCGUUUUAUCGCUAAAGAUAAUUUAUAAUAUGAAUAAAUUGUUAAACUUUGCUCGAGUUAUUCCAUGUACUGGUCAUAUAUUCUAUAAUGUAUUGGUAAUAAAAUGCAAAGAAAUUGAAUAAUCUUCCGAACGAUUGAAUUAUAUCUGCUAUGAGAAUAUUAAAUAUUUAAAAUAUAUAGUAAUGAGAAGAGUGGCAUAUACAUAUAGUGGCAUAUAUAUAUAUACAUUCAUUUAUUAUGUGAGAUACUGUCCAAAUAUAUAUAAUCUAUCUUAAAAUUGUAA